rnacentral:rRNA from 1 species
UACGUAGGGGGCUAGCGUUGUCCGGAUUUAUUGGGCGUAAAGAGCGUGUAGGCGGCCUGACAAGUCUGCUGUGAAAACUCGAGGCUCAACCUCGAGAUGUCGGCGGAAACUGUCUGGCUAGAGUCCGGAAGAGGAGAGUGGAAUUCCUGGUGUAGCGGUGAAAUGCGCAGAUAUCAGGAAGAACACCCGUGGCGAAGGCGGCUCUCUGGGACGGUACUGACGCUGAGACGCGAAAGCGUGGGGAGCGAACAGG